GAUGAACGCUGGCGGCGUGCUUAACACAUGCAAGUCGAACGGAAAGGCUCCUGCUUGCAGGGGUACUCGAGUGGCGAACGGGUGAGUAACACGUGGGUGAUCUGCCCCGCACUUCGGGAUAAGCCUGGGAAACUGGGUCUAAUACCGGAUAGGACAGUGGUUUGGAUGCCAUUGUGGAAAGUUUUUUCGGUGUGGGAUGAGCUCGCGGCCUAUCAGCUUAUUGGUGGGGUAAUGGCCUACCAAGGCGUCAACGGGUAGCCGGCCUGAGAGGGUGUACGGCCACAUUGGGACUGAGAUACGGCCCAGACUCCUACGGGAGGCAGCAGUGGGGAAUAUUGCACAAUGGGCGCAAGCCUGAUGCAGCGACGCCGCGUGGGGGAUGACGGCCUUCGGGUUGUAAACUCCUUUCGCUAGGGACGAAGCGUUAUGUGACGGUACCUAGAGAAGAAGCACCGGCUAACUACGUG
rnacentral:rRNA from 1 species